GACGAACGCUGGCGGCGUGCUUAACACAUGCAAGUCGAACGGUAAGGCCCUUCGGGGUACACGAGUGGCGAACGGGUGAGUAACACGUGGGUGAUCUGCCCUGCACUUUGGGAUAAGCCUGGGAAACUGGGUCUAAUACCGAAUACACCCUGCUGGUCGCAUGGCCUGGUGGGGGAAAGCUUUUGCGGUGUGGGAUGGGCCCGCGGCCUAUCAGCUUGUUGGUGGGGUGAUGGCCUACCAAGGCGACGACGGGUAGCCGGCCUGAGAGGGUGACCGGCCACACUGGGACUGAGAUACGGCCCAGACUCCUACGGGAGGCAGCAGUGGGGAAUAUUGCACAAUGGGCGCAAGCCUGAUGCGGCGACGCCGCGUGAGGGAUGACGGCCUUCGGGUUGUAAACCUCUUUCAAUAGGGACGAAGCGCAAGUGACGGUACCUAUAGAAGAAGGACCGGCCAACUACGUGCCAGCCGCCGCAGUAAGAC
rnacentral:rRNA from 1 species